rnacentral:rRNA from 1 species
AUUGAACGCUGGCGGCAGGCUUAACACAUGCAAGUCGAGCGAGCGGCGGACGGGUGAAUAAUGUCUGAAAACCUGCCUGAUGGAGGGGGAUAACUACUGGAAACGGUAGCUAAUACCGCAUACCCUCAGAUGUGCCCAGCGGGGAUUAGCUAGUAGGUGGGGUAAUGGCGCACCUAGGCGACGAGCCCUAGCUGGUCUGAGAGGAUGACCAGCCACACUGGAACUGAGACACGGUCCAGACUCCGACGGUAGGCAGGAGGGGGGAAUAUUGCACAAUGGGCGCAAGCCUGAUGCAGCCAGGCCGCGUGUGUGAAGAAGGCCUUCGGGUUGUAAAGCACUGUCAGCGAGGAGGCGUUACUCGCAGAAGAAGCACCGGCUAACUCCGUGCCAGCAGCCGCGGUAAUUC